rnacentral:rRNA from 1 species
UACGUAGGGUGCAAGCGUUAAUCGGAAUUACUGGGCGUAAAGCGUGCGCAGGCGGUUUUGUAAGUUUGUUGUGAAAUCCCCGGGCUCAACCUGGGAAUGGCGAUGAAGACUGCAAGGCUAGAAUCUGGCAGAGGGGAGUAGAAUUCCACGUGUAGCAGUGAAAUGCGUAGAGAUGUGGAGGAACACCGAUGGCGAAGGCAGCCCCCUGGGUCAAGAUUGACGCUCAUGCACGAAAGCGUGGGGAGCAAACAGG